GUCUACAGCCAUACUAUCCUAAAGGCACCAGGUCUCAUCAGAUCUCCGAAGCUGAGCAGGGUUGGGCCUGGUUAGUACUCUCAUGGGAGAGACAAGCUUGAGGCUUUUGGAGACU
ensembl:rRNA 5S_rRNA 5S ribosomal RNA